rnacentral:rRNA from 2 species
GGGUAAUAUUGGGCAAUGGACGCAAGUCUGACCCAGCAACGCCGCGUGAAGGAAGAAGGCUUUCGGGUUGUAAACUUCUUUUAAGGGGGAAGAGUAGAAGACGGUACCCAAGAAGAAAGUCCCGGCUAACUACGUGCCAGCAGCCGCGGUAAUACGUAGGGGACAAGCGUUGUCCGGAUUUACUGGGCGUAAAGGGCCACGCAGGCGGUUUUUUAAGUCAGAUGUGAAAGGUACCGGCUCAACCGGUGACAUGCAUUUGAAACUGAAAGACUUGAGUAUUGGAGAGGCAAGUGGAAUUCCUAGUGUAGCGGUGAAAUGCGUAGAUAUUAGUAGGAACACCGGUGGCGAACGCGGCUUGCUGGACAAAUACCGACGCUGAGGUGCGAAAGCGUGGGGAGCAAACA